GGAGCACGAUCCUUACUCUCACUCUGAUUGUUACAUCCUCGCUCUGUGGGUAUAGAUCCGGUGGAGGUCUUUUGUUUUCUAUUUUUGGGAUAUUUUUCAAGAAAUAAAAGAGCAUCUCAAGGAUGUUCUCCUGCUCGCCAAAUGAGUCAUGAGGCAGAGAUGUGGGAGGGGACAACAACCUGGACAGGAAGGAAGCGUCAACAGGACAGUCCCUUGCAGGAGUGAGUCACACAUCUAUCUGUGUCUGUGUGUUUGUGAGAAUAUUGUAGACAGCAAGGGCUUCUGGGAGGGAGGACUGCAGUGCAAUUCUCUGUCUGAGCACAAUUUAGAAACCUUCCAUGCUUGAUGUUUUUAAGCAUUUACAGCAAAAAAUGAAAUAUACUGCAAAAAUUACGCAGUGACUCUUUAAAUGCAUAUUUUAAUCAUACAUUUCAGGCCUUAUGUUGAAAGAUGUGCUUCCAAACGGAGGUCAUUUUGUUGUUUCACUACAUGGUCCGUACAUAAAGGACACUCUGUCACUUCUGAUCCUCCUCGCUGAAUCACUCUGACCUUUAACAAACACUACAUCCACAUACUCCAUGUACUGUACGUGCUACAGCCUCUGCAGCACAUCAACAACACACUGCGCCUCGGUCUACUACAACAGAGAUAAUCGGUCUGACAUCUGCAGAGGAUCACUGAGGAGUAUGUGGAGAGUAGAGGAGAAAAAACAUAAUAAAUAUAUCUGCUCUGACUUUUUAUGAGAGUUUAAGCCCAAAAUAAGGACACACUGUUUGUGAUACUUGUGUUUCUCUCUGUCUGCAGAUGUAAAAAUCCUGAACACAUGGUAAAAUCAAGGCAGUGAAGUGGACCUGGGGGCGCACAUAGGAACAAAACAGUGGAGAGAAAACAGACAUGGGGUAAGACUCAGUGCUUCUGCAGGCUAAUGUGAUGAAGUGUUUCCCUUUCCUGUUUGGCCAAUACUUCCUACACAAUGAACAAUCCUGGAGAGCUGGAACAAUCCUUAUAUACAUAUAUAUAAAUGUGUGUGUGCGCGUGUGUGUGAAAGAUCGCUGUCAACAUAUUUUUAGAACAAAUGUUGGAUAUUUCUUGUCCGAUCAACUUGCUGCUUUCUCUGUCA